rnacentral:rRNA from 1 species
UGGGGAAUAUUGGGCAAUGGGGGAAACCCUGACCCAGCAACGCCGCGUGAAGGAAGAAGGCCUUCGGGUUGUAAACUUCUUUUAGCAGGGACGAAGAACGUGACGGUACCUGCAGAAAAAGCAACGGCUAACUACGUGCCAGCAGCCGCGGUAAUACGUAGGUGGCAAGCGUUGUCCGGAUUUACUGGGUGUAAAGGGCGUGUAGCCGGGUCGGUAAGUCAGAUGUGAAAUCUGGAGGCUCAACCUCCAAACUGCAUUUGAAACUGUCGCCCUUGAGUAUCGGAGAGGCAGGCGGAAUUCCUAGUGUAGCGGUGAAAUGCGUAGAUAUUAGGAGGAACACCAGUGGCGAAGGCGGCCUGCUGGACGACAACUGACGCUGAGGCGCGAAAGCGUGGGGAGCAAACAGG